GCUGCUGGUACGUUCAGUGUAAUUAUUAAACUCCUAAAACCUGCAUUUGUUAUUAUAAUUAAAACUAUUAUCUGGUUCUGGAGCUGCAGGUUCAGAAACCUGGAUUAGAGCCUCAGACUUUAAUGAUGUCGAUCAUAAAAAUACCUUUUUGUUAAUAAUUCAUGUUAAAAUAAUGUUAUUCAGAUUUAUUUGCUUUGCGUUGUCUUCAGCCCCUUUUACUCUGAUUCCAGUAAAUAAACUCCAGUCCAGCCAGUUUCCAGUUUGCUUCCUGGUGUCGGUUAUUGACCCAGUGGCCCGGUUUCCAGCAGCUGCUGGUUGCUAGGUAACCACCAUCCAGCCACAGGGUUGAUGCUUCAUCAGAUCCAUGUCAGAAUUAUGAAUUAAUCAGACAUUUUGUUUUUAUCUGUUUGGUUUUCUACAUCACUUCCUGUUUCUUCACUUAAACUUUAAACUCAGAGCUUUUAGCUGAUUAAACCACUGAGAUGUAACCGGUGAUCGGACGUGUUUCGGGUCAGAACCAGCUUUGACCCGGUCAGCUCUGACUCCGCCCCCUGUUCCCCAGUCAGCUCUGACUCCGCCCCCUGUUCCCCAGUCAGCUCCGACUCCGCCCCCUGAUCUCUGGUCAGCUCUGACUCCGCCCCCUGAUCUCUGGUCAGCUCUGACUCCGCCCCCUGAUCUCUGGUCAGCUCUGACUCCGCCCCCUGUGACCCGGUCAGCUCUGACUCCGCCCCUCUGCUCUGUCUGCAGCUGCUGAACCUCUUCCUGGCUCUGCUCCUCAGCAGCUUCAGCUCCGACAACCUUUCUGCCCCAGAUGAAGACGGGGAGAUGAACAACCUCCAGAUCGCCAUCCACCGGAUCACUCUGGGCCUGGCCUGGUGCCGCCGACAGGUGGUGGACUUCUUCAACGGGAACCUGAAGCGCCGCCGGCAGAAACGAAAAGAGGCCAAAGCCAUGAUGAAGCUGAAACGGCUGAGCACCGUCCACACUGAGGCCAACGGCGCCGUGAUCGGCCGCCAUGUGGAGAAGUACGUGGUUCCGGAGGACGACAGCUACAUGACCAACCCCAACCUGACCAUCAGCGUUCCCAUCGCCCCCGGAGAGUCCGACGUGGAGUUUCCGGAGGAAGAGGAGGAGGAGGAAGAGGAGGAGUGUCAGGAGGAGCAGAGCGAGGGGUCCGAGGCAGACGAGGAGAGAGAGGAGGAGCAGAAAGAAGAAAUCAGCCUCUCAGAGGGCAGCACAGUGGACCUGAGGAAGCCUGGCGAGGAAGAGGACGAGUACUCAGAGCUGGCCGAAGAGGCCAUGGACCCGGACAACUGCUUCCCUGACGUGUGCGUGUCCCGGUUCCGGUGCUGCGACAUCGACACCACGGCGGGUCUGGGCCAGAUGUGGUGGAGAACGAGGAAGACCUGCUACCAGAUCGUAGAGCACAGCUGGUUCGAGUCCUUCAUCAUCUUCAUGAUCCUUCUCAGCUCGGGAGCUCUGGCCUUCGAGGACAUCUACAUCGAGCAGAGAAGGGUCGUCAAGGUGGUGCUCGAAUAUGCUGACAAGAUCUUCACCUACAUCUUCAUCCUGGAGAUGGCGCUGAAGUGGCUCGCAUACGGCUUCAAGAAGUACUUCACCAACUACUGGUGCUGGCUGGACUUCCUCAUCGUCGAUGUUUCAUUGGUCAGUCUGGUGGCCAACACGUUGGGUUACUCCGACCUGGCAGCCAUCAAGUCCCUGCGGACGCUGCGGGCCCUGCGGCCCCUCAGGGCCCUGUCCAGAUUUGAAGGCAUGAGGGUGGUGGUGAACGCCCUGAUCGGCGCCAUCCCCUCCAUCAUGAACGUGCUGCUGGUCUGCCUGAUCUUCUGGCUCAUCUUCAGCAUCAUGGGCGUCAACCUUUUCGCCGGGAAGUUCGGCCGCUGCGUCAACCGGACCGGCUUCGUGUACGACGCCUCGCUCAUCAACAACAAGUCCGAGUGCGACGCCGCCAACGACACCUCGCAGCACUACUGGACCAAGGUCAAGGUCAACUUCGACAACGUCGGCGCCGGAUACCUGGCUCUGCUGCAAGUGGCCACCUUUAAGGGCUGGAUGGACAUCAUGUACGCCGCCGUGGACUCCAGAGCCGUGGAGGAGCAGCCGAUCAAGGAGAUCAACCUCUACAUGUACCUGUACUUCGUCAUCUUCAUCAUCUUCGGCUCCUUCUUCACCCUCAACCUCUUCAUCGGAGUCAUCAUCGACAACUUCAACCAGCAGAAACGAAAGUUAGGAGGGCAGGACAUCUUCAUGACGGAGGAGCAGAAGAAAUAUUACAACGCCAUGAAGAAACUGGGAUCCAAGAAGCCGCAGAAGCCCAUCCCCCGACCUCUGAACGACCUGCAGGGCUUCUUCUUCGACCUGGUGGGGAAGCAGGCCUUCGACAUCAUCAUCAUGGUUCUGAUCCUCCUCAACAUGAUCACCAUGAUGGUGGAGACGGACGAGCAGUCGCCGCAGAUGGAGAAGAUGCUCUACUACGUCAACCUGGCCUUCAUCGUCAUCUUCACCACCGAGUGCAGCAUCAAGAUCAUGGCGCUGCGCUGCUACUUCUUCACCGUCGGCUGGAACAUCUUCGACUUCGUGGUCGUCAUCCUCUCCAUCGUCGGAAUCGUUCUGGCCGACAUCAUUGAGAAAUACUUUGUGUCGCCGACUCUCUUCAGAGUAAUCCGCCUGGCCCGGAUCGGGCGAAUCCUGCGCCUCAUCAGAGGAGCCAAGGGCAUUCGGACGUUACUGUUCGCCCUCAUGAUGUCGCUUCCUGCCCUCUUCAACAUCGGGCUGCUCCUCUUCCUCGUCAUGUUCAUCUACGCCAUCUUCGGCAUGGCUAACUUCGCCUACGUGAAGCGGCAGGGGGGCAUCGACGACAUGUUUAACUUUGAGACGUUUGGGAACAGCAUGCUGUGCUUGUUCCAGAUCACCACGUCUGCAGGGUGGGACAGCCUGCUCAACCCCAUCCUCAACAACUCCCCCGAGGAGUGCGACCCCCACCUCCCCCACACCGGCACCACCGUCAAGGGCAACUGYGGGAACCCGUCGGUGGGCAUCACCUUCUUCGUCACCUACAUCAUCAUCUCCUUCCUCAUCGUGGUCAACAUGUACAUCGCCAUCAUCCUGGAGAACUUCAGCGUGGCCACGGAGGAAAGCACCGAGCCGCUGAGCGAGGACGACUUCGAGAUGUUUUACGAGGUUUGGGAGAAGUUCGACCCAGAAGCCACGCAGUUCAUAGAGUACUCCAAACUGUCGGACUUUGCAGACUCUCUUCUGGAGCCUCUCCGCAUCAGCAAGCCCAACAAGAUCAAGCUGAUCUCCAUGGACCUGCCCAUGGUCAGCGGAGACAAGAUCCAUUGCCUGGACAUCCUGUUCGCCUUCACCAAGCGCGUCCUGGGCGAGUCGGGCGAGAUGGACGCCCUCAAGCAGCAGAUGGAGGAGAAGUUCAUGAUUUCAAACCCUUCCAAGAUUUCSUACGAGCCGAUCACCACAACUCUGCGGCGCAAGCAGGAAGAAGUGUCGGCCACCAUCAUCCAGAGGUGCUAUCGGCGCCACCUGGUGAGGCGCCAGGUGAAGGCCGCCUCCUACAUGUACCGCCAGUUCACCACGCCCCGGCACGACCACAGCGAGGGCGAGGAGGGAGGCGAGGUGAUGUUUGGGGAGGACGCGCCUGAGAAGGAAGGGCUAAUAGCCACCAUGAUGAAGGAGAACUACGGGUCCAGUCUGCUGGGGGUGGAGCGCUCCUCCACCAUGUCCUCCGCCUCAUCGCCGCCGUCCUACAACAGCGUGACGCGAGCCGAACACCUUCAUCCGCUCGCUGCCAAGACAGAAACGGCCGAUGAAAGCGACGUGAGAGAACAGUCGCAGGCUGAAGCCAACAGAGAGACGGAAACAGAACCUUAGCAGGAACCCAAAAAGAACAAGUUCUGAUUUUUACUGAAUGUACCGAAGGAUCGUCGGAUCAGCUGGGAGUGACAGUCGGAUGCUGAAGAGAGGAAGAUUUACUACCUUUAGUCUUGUUCCCCGGUGGAGACGCAAAGAAAAACCAUUUUCUGAAAACGGAUUCUGAAGAACCGCCAACAGACGGAGGCUUCAUCUGAGACGUCAACCCAGAGCAAAACACCAGAAUAAGGAGCUCGGUUCUGUUGGUUCUGUUGUGUCGGACUCUGACCCGGUCAGACCGGUUAUAUCAUUUAUCGCCCCGGGAUCGGGAGGGUCCGCCUCCUUACCGGCUACCGGCCGAAGGAUCGGCGRAUCCCGUCUGCGUUUCGACAGCUGAAGGGUUUUCUGGACAGCAAUGCUAUUCAAAAGACCUUUUCGUAGUAAAAGUAUAACGUUGUUGAUGUUCCAAGUCUUUUAAUAUCGGUACAAUUAUUACUAUUUUUUAUAUUUUUUAGAGUAAGUUAAAAAUAAGCCUUCGGAGUGGCGCUCGCUGAAACGAACCGUCUGAUGGAAACCCGAAAACAAAAAGACUUUAUCUUUUUAUUUUCUUUUUGGGCGUUUUUUGCACUUUUGAGUUUAYAUUUAGCGUCACUUUACUGCGCCGUCGGUAAACGUUGGGUUGCAUUUCUCCUGCUCUGACACCAAAAACUGAACGAAUGCACAAAUGGAUCUCAAAUUCCCGAUUCGCCUCGGUGAUGAACGUCCUGAURAGCCCCGACCCGCCAGCGCUGGGUGAUCUGCCAAAGAGUUCACCGAAGAUUUUACCGAUCUGCAUGAGGAGACGAUGGCAGCGGCUCGUUCGUUGCCGAGGUAACCGAUGAUGGAAGCCUCUGUCAGAUUUGGCUGACGUCAUCAGGUGGCCUGAUGGGAAACGAUCYGAACUUUAGGAUCCGUCUUUCUGGCUGAUCACCCGUCGUCAUUAACUUUGUGUCGGUCUGAGUUCGGCUCGAUGCGACGUUUCGUGGUUCCGGUUCCGACCCGGUUGAGAGCUCAGGAUUUUACUGCAUUCAGUCUGAGAGGAAGCUGGAUGUUGAUCUCAUGGUGGCGCUGCCAGCAGCGUCCAGGAGAAACUCUGGCUCCGUUUCUUUAUUCGCUUGUUAUUUAUUUUCCAAGCCAGAUUUUUAGCUCUUAUAGAUUUUAGCUCUUCAAUGCAACAUUUUCUACAAGAAGCUUCAGGUUUGAUAUGUAAGUUUGAAACAGAAACACUUUGUCUCUGCACAAGCAUCUGGAGCCGCUGACUGUUGAAAGUCUGAAGUCAUCUUUAAGUCCAGGAUGUUUCUACCUUUUAGGACGUUCAGUUGAUUUUCCUGUCAGGAUAAUGAUCCAGUUUGUGGGUUGGGCUGUAAAAUCCUCUCUGCUGAUGCCGAGCAGCUUCAGCUGCAGGUUGAAUCCAUUGAUGCUCAAACUUCACUGAACUAAACACUCAAUCUUACCAAACAUGUUGUAGUAAAAAUGUCAAAGUUCUUGAAAUAAGGUAAAACUAACAAGUCCAUUUUCAUCCAGAUAAACCAGCUUGUGUCCAGUAAAUAAAUGACCUAAAACAAGUUAUUAUAUCCUUCUGAAAUGUUACUUUUAAAUUAGUUUUGCUUUAUUUCAAGAGUGCAAAGAUAUUUGAACAACAAACUGGACAAAAAUACUUUAAUGAUUUGUGUUUUUGGAGUUUUGUGGGAUCAGUUUGGGUUUGCUGGUYGUGAAGGAAGAAUCAACGCUGAAGAACUGGACGCCGUCCCACAGCAGUGUGUGACCUCAGCUUCAAGCACCAAACCAGAGGUAAUUCCAGAUGGACUGUCUGGUUUUGGCACAGAGGAUUUGGUUGGUUUUUCUGGGCCAGAACCCAAAAACUCGACUGCUGCUCAACCCAUACAUCCGUUUCCUCACWGAUACGAAACCAUCUAAAGAUUUUAUCACCAAAAAGCAUCAUUAGAAAACAGAAAUGACCAAAAAACACAAAUUUAUUUACCUUUUCUGCUGAGAUAUCAGAGCARAAACCCAAAACAUUCGAUCAAACCUUCUCAGGGGAACAGAACUGCUGUUUGGUCGGUUUGGACCAGUUUGGACGGUUUUUACCAGUUUGGUCUCUUUUGGUUCAGUUUGAUCCAGUUUUGUUUGGUUUGGUCCGGUUCGGUCCGGUUUGGGUCGGUUCCUCAUUACAGAGACGCCUGAAUGAAGCCGGUCUGGAGCGGAUGCUUGUGCCGAGGCAUAAACAGGCGGGUUGGUUGGUUCUCCUGGUUCUGCUCGGGUCCAGAACCCGAGCAGAACCAGGAACUGGGCUGCAGGUUUUCCUUGGAGUC